ACGCGGUUUGCCCGACAUCAAGAUGGCGCCUCCGCCUUCAAUCUCUUCCGGCGGCGCUGCGCUCUGAUUGGCCGCGCUUUGCCCGCCCUUCGAUCAGAUUGGCUACCCACCCGGAAGUAGGCGUGGCCUGCCCGCAUGGCGGCGAUGGCGGGCGGCGUGUCCGGAAGGACGGACCCGUUCCCCGGGCCGGCGCCGGUGCCGCGUCCCAAAGUGAAGCGGUUCCUGCGGGGAUCGGAGGAGAAAGCGCCCCGCGCCGCCGCCCCCCGGCUCCGCUGGCACCUGAGGGAUUUGGGAGCUCGGGAAAAUUCAGCGGCCGAGAAAGCGGCGAGAUGGGAGAAGCUGC
rnacentral:lncRNA from 1 species